CCCACCCUUUGCAGCCCCACGCUCCUCCCCCACUGCCCCCCACAGCACACUAGGCCCUUCUGCCUGGAGCUGGGGACAGGACCCAGAAAUGUCAUGGUUCACACAGUAUGGCAGCCAUAUUGUGAGGAAGCCCAAGCCACCCGGAGAGGCCACUGUAGGUGCUCUGGGCCAACAGCCUCCAUUAAGGUCUCCACCUUAGGCCAGCUUCAGUGCUCAACAUGUGCACAAACGACUCUCCAAAUGAUUCCUGCUCCUGACUGCAACCAUCUCAGCACUGGACGCCAUCACAUGGACGCCCCUGGCCACAGCCCUCUCAGGAGGGUAGACCGGGAAGAGCUGUCACUAUACAGAUGCAGAAACUGGGGCUCUGAGAGAGAGGAAGGAAGAGGAAAGAAGAGGAAAAAGUAGCCCAAAGAAAGCCCCACAGCAGUCGCAGAGCUGGGACAUAAACCUUGGCUCUGCCACAAAGCCCAUCAUCCACAGAGACUUCUGACUCGGAUGAUUCCCACACUUCCUCCAGAAUGCACAACCUAUCCUAGGGUCCCCCAGGCAGACGGAAGAUGUCAGGAGGAGGGAAGUGCAGGAUAGCCUGAGCCUGAUGAACUACAUGCCAGAAUGCCAUCACCUGCACCAUUGUGGGAGCUGCAUUCCUCUGUCUCUACGUGGACCUGAGGUUGUGCCAUAGUCCCCAAGACCCUGGGCAACCUAGCCCAGCUGGCCCUCCGGCCUUUUCUCCUCCCUCUUCCCCCUUUGCCCUAUGAGCUCCUGUCACUUGGUCUUUCUUGCUUUCUUCAACAUACCAGGCUUCCAGCCACAGGGCCUUUGCAUAUACAGUCCCCUUACUUUAGAAGACGUGCCCCAAGCCCCAGCCCCUUCCAUGUCCACAGUUAAUGCCUCUUCAUCCUUCCUUCUUUUUAAAAUAACAGCUUUAUUGACAUAUAAUUCAUAUGUCAUAUAGUUGACCUAUUUAAAACAUGUGAUUCAAUGGUUUUUAGUAUGUCCACAGAUCUGGGUAAUCAUCACCACGAUCAGUUCUAGGACAUUUGCAUCACCGUCUAAAACCCUGUACUCAUUUACCAGUCACUGCCCCCCAACUCCCACACACGCACCAUUUGGCAACCCCUAAUCUACUUUCUGUGUCUACAGAUUUGCCUAUUCUGGACGUUUCCUAUAAAUGGAGUCUUACAUUUUGG